GUAUAUAUUAUUAUAUAGGCACAACAUUCUAUUGACAUACAUUGGGGUAAAAUGAAGCAACAUAGACCCGAAAAGGUCUACAAAAAGUGCACAGGUGGAGAUAUAAAGAUGACAAGGUGUGCACAUGCUCCCUAGAGAACCAGCAACAACCCAUCAGGUUUAUUUCAAUAAUGAUCCUUCCGCAGGUUCACCUACGGAAA
rnacentral:misc_RNA from 1 species